GACCACUCUAGUGGCCUAGCAGUUAGAGCGUCUGCCUCGGAUGCAGGAGGUUAAGGGUUCAAUCCCCUAACUGAGUCA